GACGAACGCUGGCGGCGUGCUUAACACAUGCAAGUCGAACGGAAAGGCCCUGCUUUUGUGGGGUGCUCGAGUGGCGAACGGGUGAGUAACACGUGAGUAACCUGCCCUUGACUUUGGGAUAACUUCAGGAAACUGGGGCUAAUACCGGAUAGGAGCUCCUGCUGCAUGGUGGUGGUUGGAAAGUUUCGGCGGUUGGGGAUGGACUCGCGGCUUAUCAGCUUGUUGGUGGGGUAGUGGCGUACCAAGGCUUUGACGGGUAGCCGGCCUGGGAGGGUGAACGGCCACAUUGGGCCUAAGAUACGGCGCAGUAUGCUACGGGCGGCAGCAGUCGAGAGUAUUGCACAGUGGGCGGAAGCCUGAUGCAGCAACGCCGCGUGCGGGAUGACGUCCUUCGGGUUGUAAACCGAUUUCGCCUGUGCCGAAGAGUGAGUGACGGUAAUGGGUAAAGAAGCACCGGCUAACUACGUG
rnacentral:rRNA from 1 species